UACGUAGGGUGCGAGCGUUAAUCGGAAUUACUGGGCGUAAAGGGCUCGUAGGUGGCCAACUAAGUCGGACGUGAAAUCCCUCAGCUUAACUGGGGAACUGCGUCCGAUACUGGAUGGCUUGGAUUUGGGAGAGGGAUGCGGAAUUCCAGGUGUAGCGGUGAAAUGCGUAGAUAUCUGGAGGAACACCGGUGGCGAAGGCGGCAUCCUGGACCAAUAUUGACGCUGAGGAGCGAAAGCUAGGGGAGCAAACGGGG
rnacentral:rRNA from 1 species